UUUAUGGAGAGUUUGAUCCUGGCUCAGGAUGAACGCUGGCGGCGUGCCUAAUACAUGCAAGUCGAGCGAACAGACAAGGAGCUUGCUCCUUUGACGUUAGCGGCGGACGGGUGAGUAACACGUGGGUAACCUACCUAUAAGACUGGGAUAACUUCGGGAAACCGGAGCUAAUACCGGAUAAUAUUUCGAACCGCAUGGUUCGAUAGUGAAAGAUGGUUUUGCUAUCACUUAUAGAUGGACCCGCGCCGUAUUAGCUAGUUGGUAAGGUAACGGCUUACC
rnacentral:rRNA from 1 species